GAGUUUGAUCCUGGCUCAGGAUGAACGCUAGCGGCAGGCCUAACACAUGCAAGUCGCGGGGUAACAGGAGAAAGCUUGCUUUCUCGCUGACGACCGGCGAACGGGUGCGUAACACGUAUGUAACCUACCUAUAACAGGAGAAUAGCCUACUGAAAAGUGGAUUAAUGCUCCAUAAUAUACAUUAAAGGCAUCUUUUUUGUAUUAAAGCUCCGGCGGUUAUAGAUGGACAUGCGGAACAUUAGCUUGUUGGUGAGGUAACGGCUCACCAAGGCAACGAUGUUUAGGGGGUCUUAGAGGAUGAUCCCCCACACUGGUACUGAGACACGGACCAGACUCCUACGGGAGGCAGCAGUGAGGAAUAUUGCGCAAUGGAGGAAACUCUGACGCAGCCAUGCCGCGUGCAGGAAGAAGGCCUUAUGGGUUGUAAACUGCUUUUAUAUGCCAAGAAAACCUAGUACGUGUACUAAACUGACGGUAGCAUAUGAAUAAGGAUCGGCUAACUCCGUGCCAGCAGCCGCGGUAAUACGGAGGAUCCAAGCGUUAUCCGGAUUUAUUGGGUUUAAAGGGUUCGUAGGCGGAAGAUUAAGUCAGUGGUGAAAUCCUACAGCUCAACUGUAGAACUGCCAUUGAUACUGGUUUUCUUGAGUACGAAUGAGGUGGGCGGAAUGUGGCAUGUAGCGGUGAAAUGUAUAGAUAUGCCACAGAACACCAAUUGCGAAGGCAGCUCACUAAAAUGUAACUGACGCUGAGGAACGAAAGCGUGGGGAGCGAACGGGAUUAGAUACCCCGGUAGUCCACGCCGUAAACGAUGAUCACUCGAUGUUGGCGAUAUACUGUCAGCGUCCAAGCGAAAGCGUUAAGUGAUCCACCUGGGGAGUACGGUCGCAAGAUUGAAACUCAAAGGAAUUGACGGGGGCCCGCACAAGCGGUGGAGCAUGUGGUUUAAUUCGAUGAUACGCGAGGAACCUUACCUAGGCUUAAAUGUAGAUUGACGUACUGGGAAACUAGUAUUUCUUCUGACAAUCUACAAGGUGCUGCAUGGUUGUCGUCAGCUCGUGCCGUGAGGUGUCGGGUUAAGUCCCAUAACGAGCGCAACCCCUAUCGUUAGUUGCUAACAUUUAGUUGAGGACUCUAACGAAACUGCCAGCGUAAGCGGAGAGGAAGGUGGGGAUGACGUCAAAUCAUCACGGCCCUUACGUCUAGGGCUACACACGUGCUAUAAUGGUAAUUACAGAGGGAAGCAAACUGGUGACAGUGAGCCAAUCCUUAAAAAUUAUCCCAGUUCGGAUUGAAGUCUGCAACUCGACUUCAUGAAGUUGGAAUCGCUAGUAAUCGGAUAUCAGCCAUGAUCCGGUGAAUACGUUCCCGGGCCUUGUACUCACCGCCCGUC
rnacentral:rRNA from 1 species